rnacentral:piRNA from 1 species
AUGUCUAGAGCAAGACAAGGUCUCAUUUAC